GGCAGGAACCAUUAAAACAUCAGUUACUGGGACGAGCAUGCCCACUGGUGCCGUGAGUGGAAAUGUGAUCGUGAACACCAUCGCAGGGGUCCCAGCUGCCACCUUCCAGUCCAUCAACAAGCGCCUGGCGUCGCCAGUGGCUCCUGGGGCCUUGACUGUGAGUUGCGCUUCACCUGGGUUGUGCACCUUGACUGCAUUCUGC
rnacentral:lncRNA from 1 species